CGUAGGUCCCUAUAUGGUGUG
rnacentral:siRNA from 1 species